CCUACGGGGGGCUGCAGUGGGGAAUAUUGCGCAAUGGGCGAAAGCCUGACGCAGCGACGCCGCGUGUGGGAUGAAGGUCUUCGGAUUGUAAACCACUGUCGCGAGGGACGAAAAUCUGACGGUCCCUCGAAAGGAAGCACCGGCUAACUCUGUGCCAGCAGCCGCGGUAAUACAGAGGGUGCGAGCGUUGUCCGGAAUCACUGGGCGUAAAGGGCGCGUAGGCGGCCUGGUAAGUAGGGGGUGAAAUCUCACGGCUCAACUGGGAGGCUGCGUUCUAGACUGCCGGGCUCGAGCACAGUAGAGGCGAGUGGAAUGCCCGGUGUAGCGGUGGAAUGCGUAGAGAUCGGGAAGAACAUCGGUGGCGAAGGCGGCUCGCUGGGCUGUUGCUGACGCUGAUGCGCGAAAGCGUGGGGAGCAAACAGGAUUAGAUACCCCAGUAGUC
rnacentral:rRNA from 1 species